GGGGGGGGGCGGCUUACCAUGCAAGUCGAGCGGAUGAAGGUAGCUUGCUACCGGAUUCAGCGGCGGACGGGUGAGUAAUGCUUAGGAAUCUGCCUAUUAGUGGGGGACAACGUUCCGAAAGGAGCGCUAAUACCGCAUACGUCCUACGGGAGAAAGCAGGGGACCUUUGGGCCUUGCGCUAAUAGAUGAGCCUAAGUCGGAUUAGCUAGUUGGUAGGGUAAAGGCCUACCAAGGCGACGAUCUGUAGCGGGUCUGAGAGGAUGAUCCGCCACACUGGGACUGAGACACGGCCCAGACUCCUACGGGAGGCAGCAGUGGGGAAUAUUGGACAAUGGGGGGAACCCUGAUCCAGCCAUGCCGCGUGUGUGAAGAAGGCCUUUUGGUUGUAAAGCACUUUAAGCGAGGAGGAGGCUACCUAGAUUAAUACUUUAGGAUAGUGGACGUUACUCGCAGAAUAAGCACCGGCUAACUCUGUGCCAGCAGCCGCGGUAAUACAGAGGGUGCGAGCGUUAAUCGGAUUUACUGGGCGUAAAGCGUGCGUAGGCGGCCAAUUAAGUCAAAUGUGAAAUCCCCGAGCUUAACUUGGGAAUUGCAUUCGAUACUGGUUGGCUAGAGUAUGGGAGAGGAUGGUAGAAUUCCAGGUGUAGCGGUGAAAUGCGUAGAGAUCUGGAGGAAUACCGAUGGCGAAGGCAGCCAUCUGGCCUAAUACUGACGCUGAGGUACGAAAGCAUGGGGAGCAGACAGGAUUAGAUACCCUGGUAGUCCAUGCCGUAAACGAUGUCUACUAGCCGUUGGGGCCCUUGAGGCUUUAGUGGCGCAGCUAACGCGAUAAGUAGACCGCCUGGGGAGUACGGUCGCAAGACUAAAACUCAAAUGAAUUGACGGGGGCCCGCACAAGCGGUGGAGCAUGUGGUUUAAUUCGAUGCAACGCGAAGAACCUUACCUGGCCUUGACAUACAGAGAAAUUUUCCAGAGAUGGAUUGGUGCCUUCGGGAACUCUGAUACAGGUGCUGCAUGGCUGUCGUCAGCUCGGGUCGUGAAAUGUUGGGUUAAGUCCCGCAACGAGCGCAACCCUUUUCCUUAUUUGCGGGCCUUUCGGGGGGGAAUUUUUAGGGAACUGCCGGUGACAAACUGGAGGAGGGGGGGGAAAAACAUCAAAUCAUCAGGGCCCUUACGGGCCAG
rnacentral:rRNA from 2 species